ACCCAGCCUCUCUGACUUUUCCUACCGGCAUCGAAUUUUCCUGGGCAGAAAGGAAGGAAUGUGAGAUGAAAGAUACGGGUUGUAUAGACCUCAUUGUCCUCAGGAUUAGAGUCCAGAUUCCAAUCAUAAUUUGCAAGUCUCUUCAAGACCCGGCCGCUGCUAAACGAGACGUCGGUCAGAGGGUACAAACUUGCAUUUAUGAGUCCUUUUCUAUGGCUCAAGUUCAGGAGUCCAGCCUGUCCCCCUAGUCACAUCAGAGACAAAGAGAGGGAGAAAGAGAAUGAAGACAUUGUCUGGAUGCUCGGAUACUUCUGGAAAAGUCAGCUCUGGCACGGGCUGAGGCGUAACUCCAGGGUUCGGAAAGCCCUGCGGUUAAUUUAGCCCAAAUUCUGAGCUGAGUGUGCCUAGCGACUCCCCAAAGAUGACCAUGGCAUCAGAAUCUUUCUAACCCUAGCCUUGGGCAAACACCACCACCAAAGAGUGGCCAGAGCCGAGCUUUGGCUGGACAUGGAACAGAACUGGGAAGAAAACGAGUACAUCGGGGUAGAUAACAAGUUGUUCACAGUGAGCAAGGCCCCAGUGGCCUCCUUAUAAAUCUCAGUCCUGAGAAAGUGUGGUUAGAGCUGAAAGCCCCGACAUGUCACGCGCUGCUAUUCCCGUGGAAAUACCAACCAGACAGCGCACGCACCCGGAGACGGGACGAGGCCAACACACUCUGGAUACAAAACCUUCAACCAACCGCCAAACUUUCUUUAAAGGGAGAUGUGUUUGGCACUCUGCUGGGCACAGGGACUACAAAUAGGAGUAAAAAUGCUACCAUCUGUGCUGAUAUCAUCUAUGCUCGCACAUGCAUCGAUCGUCUGGGGAGGGCAACAGCAGUGGGAGAGAGUCUAAGGGGUCACCGCAAACCCCUCCUGCCUUGUGAAUUCGCUCUCAGAAGCACACGUUACCUAUGCAGACAAUAAUUGAGGGGCACCCGGCCGGCUCAGUUGGAA